UGUAUACUAGGUGGUUGAAGUAUUGAUCCUUUGACUGCCGGAGCUAACGCAUUAAGUAUACCGCCUGGGGAGUAUGCCGGCAACGGUGAAACUCAAAGGAAUUGACGGGGGCCCGCACAAGCAGUGGAGCAUGUUGUUUAAUUCGAAGAUACGCGAGAAACCUUACCAGGUCUUGACAUAUACCUGAAUGGUGUGGAAACACAUCCGCCCCUCGGGGCAGGUAUACAGGUGCUGCAUGGUUGUCGUCAGCUCGUGCCGUGAGGUGUUGGGUUAAGUCCCGCAACGAGCGCAACCCUUAUUCUUUGUUGCUAACAGGUUAAGCUGAGCACUCUAAGGAGACUGCCGGUGACAAACCGGAGGAAGCUGGGGAUGACGUCAAAUCAUCACGGCCCUUAUGAUCUGGGCUACAAACGUGCUACAAUGGGCGGCACAAAGAGUUGCGAUACCGCGAGGUGGAGCUAAUCUCAAAAAACCGUCCUCAGUUCGGAUUGGAGUCUGAAACCCGACUCUAUGAAGCUGGAAUUGCUAGUAAUCGCACAUCAUCAUGGUGCGGUCAAAUGUUCCCGGGCCUUGACACACCGCCCGUCACGUCACCCGAGUUGAUUAUACCCGACGC
rnacentral:rRNA from 1 species